UCUAGGUCUCAAAUCAAGUAAGAAAACUCCCUGAAUUUAAGCAUAUUAAUAAGGGAAGGAAAAGAAACUAACAAGGAUUCCCUCAGUAACGGCGAGUGAAGCGGGAAGAGCUCAAACUUAAAAUCAGCAGUCGUCUCGGCUGCCUGAAUUGUAGUCUAUAGAGGCAAUGCCAGCCGUGGGUUGGGGUUAAGUCCCUUGGAACAGGGCAUCAUAGAGGGUGAGAAUCCCGUCUAUACCUCGAAUCCGCGUGCGUACGGUAUGUCUUCGAAGAGUCAUGUUGCUUGGGAUUGCAGCAUAAAAUGGGAGGUAAAUUCCUUCUAAAGCUAAAUAUUGGCGGGAGACCGAUAGCGAACAAGUACCGUGAGGGAAAGAUGCAAAGAACUUUGAAAAGAGAGUUAAAGAGUGCCUGAAAUUGCUGAAAGGGAAGCGUAUUGAACUAGCGUUAUGCGGUGGUAUUUUCAUUGGGCUGCUUGCAGGCCGGUGCGCUGUGCCACUGUGUAGGUCAGGGUCAGUUCAUGUUCCGCGGGAGACGGUAGUCGGGAAGGUAGGGUUUGGUCUCGGCCAAAUCUGUUAUAGCCUGGUUAUCACGUCGUGGAUAGGACUGAGGAAAUUGCAGCACGCGCCUUUGGCUGGGCUUUGCCCAUGCGUGUUCGAGAUCCUGACGAAAUGGUUUAAUACGGCCCGUCUUGAAACACGGACCAAGGAGUCUAA
rnacentral:rRNA from 1 species